UACGGGGGGGGCAAGCGUUGGUCGGAAUUACUGGGCGUAAAGGGCGCGUAGGCGGUUGGAUAAGUCAGCUGUGAAAACCACGAGCUCAACUUGUGGCCUGCAGUUGAAACUGUCUGGCUAGAGUGUGGGAGAGGGAAGUGGAAUUCCUGGUGUAGCGGUGAAAUGCGUAGAUAUCAGGAGGAACACCGGUGGCGAAGGCGGCUUCCUGGACCACAACUGACGCUGAGGCGCGAAAGCCAGGGGAGCAAACAGG
rnacentral:rRNA from 1 species